GAUGAACGCUGGCGGCGUGCCUAAUACAUGCAAGUCGAGCGAACGGACGAGAAGCUUGCUUCUCUGAUGUUAGCGGCGGACGGGAGAGUAACACGUGGAUAACCUACCUAUAAGACUGGGAUAACUUCGGGAAACCGUAGCUAAUACCGGAUAAUAUUUUGAACCGCAUGGGUCAAAAGUGAAAGACGGUCUUGCUGUCACUUAUAGAUGGAUCCGCGCUGCAUUAGCCAGUUGGUAAGGUAACGGCUUACCAAGGCAACGAUGCAUAGCCGACCUGAGAGGGUGAUCGGCCACACUGGAACUGAGCCACGGUCCAGACUCCUACGGGAGGCAGCAGUAUGGAAUCUUCCGCAAUGGGCGAAAGCCUGACGGAGCAACGCCGCGUGAGUGAUGAAGGUCUUCGGAUCGUAAAACUCUGUUAUUAGGGAAGAACAUAUGUGUAAGUAACUGUGCACAUCUUGACGGUACCUAAUCAGAAAGCCACGGCUAACUACGUG
rnacentral:rRNA from 1 species